rnacentral:rRNA from 1 species
GAUGAACGCUGGCGGCGUGCCUAAUACAUGCAAGUCGAGCGAACAGACGAGGAGCUUGCUCCUCUGACGUUAGCGGCGGACGGGUGAGUAACACGUGGAUAACCUACCUAUAAGACUGGGAUAACUUUGGGAAACCGGAGCUAAUACCGGAUAAUAUAUUGAACCGCAUGGUUCAAUAGUGAAAGACGGUUUUGCUGUCACUUAUAGAUGGAUCCGCGCCGCAUUAGCUAGUUGGUAAGGUAACGGCUUACCAAGGCGACGAUGCGUAGCCGACCUGAGAGGGUGAUCGGCCACACUGGAACUGAGACACGGUCCAGACUCCUACGGGAGGCAGCAGUAGGGAAUCUUCCGCAAUGGGCGAAAGCCUGACGGAGCAACGCCGCGUGAGUGAUGAAGGUCUUCGGAGCGUAAAACUCUGUUAUUAGGGAAGAACAAAUGUGUAAGUAACUAUGCACGUCUUGACGGUACCUAAUCAGAAAGCCACGGCUAACUACGUG